rnacentral:rRNA from 1 species
GACGAACGCUGGCGGCGUGCUUAACACAUGCAAGUCGAACGGAAAGGCCCUGCUUUUGUGGGGUGCUCGAGUGGCGAACGGGUGAGUAACACGUGAGUAACCUGCCCUUGACUUUGGGAUAACUUCGGGAAACUGGGGCUAAUACCGGAUAGGAGCUCCUGCUGCAUGGUGGGGGUUGGAAAGUUUCGGCGGUUGGGGAUGGACUCGCGGCUUAUCAGCUUGUUGGUGGGGUAGUGGCUUACCAAGGCUUUGACGGGUAGCCGGCCUGAGAGGGUGACCGGCCACAUUGGGACUGAGAUACGGCGCAGACUCGUACGGGAGACAGCAGUGGGGAAUAUUGCACAAUGGGCGGAAGCCUGAUGCAGCAACGCCGCGUGCGGGAUGACGGCCUUCGGGUUGUAAACCGCUUUCGCCUGUGACGAAGCGUGAGUGACGGUAAUGGGUAAAGAAGCACCGGCUAACUACGUG